AAGAAGAAGAAGAAGAAGAAGAAGAAGAAGAAGAAGAAGAAGAAGAAGAAGAAGAAGAAGAAAAUAAUCGAGAGUUGUUGAGCAAGAAUUUAACAGCAGUGACUAAUGACCAUGGAGAAGGGACAUGAUGGUCUGGAGUUAGGAGUGAGUGUGCAGGGUUUCUGACCUGAGUGGCCAACACCAUCCUGCUCUGUAACCCUCCUUACAGCUAUGGGAGACGCUUCUGGUGCAUUGACAGAAACAGAAGGCAAGUAAGUGAGUGGGUGACUCUAAGUGUGUGCUUAAGACUCUAUGGAAAACUAGAGAUGAGGAGAAGGAGCCUGCAAGCUAUUCACAUUUAUAAGACUGAGAGAUGAGCAGACAAGCCUAGAGCACUGGGGAACGCUAUGUUAUUCUCCCUGUUACUUUGGUCACAGGGUCCCCUUUUGUGGAAGUGACAUUUUGGUGAGAAAAAAGUAAGAAAGGAUAAUAAGGGCAAGGGUAAAAGCAUGGCGUGGUGUGAUCAGAAUUAUAUUGGGAAACACCCUAUAGAGUUUUGGAAUCUUCUGUAGAUGAGGUGACUCAUCUAUAAAAUCCUGGCUUGUCGUGUGAAGAGAAUUCUGAGUGCUUGCGAGAAAACCCCAAGAAAAGCAAAACAAGAGUCUUGUGGCCUUGGUUUC
rnacentral:lncRNA from 1 species